AUUCUACUUCGUGCCUGGGUCUUCGUCCUGUCAUGAUCAUUCUACGGGCUGACGUUGAAACUAUACCGUUUAAUCGUAUGAUGGUAUAAACUGUGUGCCACGUGUUUCACUUAAUGACGCCGUUCCUGGACGCGAAGUCAACGUCGACCAUUUUGAUCUUGACACUCCAAGCUGAAAGACGCGCGUGGACAGAAGAGGCCAGCCGUUCGGAGUGGCAGAAUGCAACUCCUACAGGAGUCGUAUUUUCUUUGUACUUAGACUUUGUUUCAUAGCAGAUUACCGAAUUAAAGUUACAGAUACAAUAUUAAAGCUCAGCGCAAACGCAGCAG